ensembl:snoRNA
CCGCACACCAGUAGACCUUGUCUGGUUCCUCUGGUAGCUGGACGAGGGGGAUGGUGCAUGCGACAGAAACGGGGAGUUUGUGCAAGCUCUCGUCAGCCUUGACGUGCCUGAUUGAGCUGCAGUGCUCCAACACAG